AAUACAUGCAAGUCGAACGCACUCGACCUUCGGGUCACAUGAGUGAGUGGCGAACGGGUGAGUAACACGUGAGAAACCCACCCCGAAGUUUGGAAUAACCCAGGGAAACUUGGGCUAAUACCAAAUGUCCUCCUUCGAUCGCAUGAUCGGUUGAGGAAAGAUUUAUCGCUUCGGGACGGUCUCGCGGCCUAUCAGCUUGUUGGUGAGGUAACGGCUCGCCAAGGCAUCGCCGGGUAGCUGGUCUGGGAGGACGGUCGGCCACACUGGGACUGAGACACGGCCCAGACGACUACGGGGGGCAGCAGUGGGGAAUCUUAGACAAUGGGCGCAAGCCUGAUCUAGCCAGGCCGCGUGAGCGAUGAAGGCCUUAGGGCUGUAAAGCUCUUUCAGCUGGGAAGAUAAUGACUGUACCAGCAGAAGAAGCCCCGGCUAACUCCGUGCCAGCCGCCGCGGUAACAC
rnacentral:rRNA from 1 species